CAAUAGCGUAUAUUAAAGCUGUUGCGGUUAAAAAGCUCGUAGUUGGAUUUCUGUCAAGGACAACUGGUCCGCCCUCCGGGUGAGCACAUAGUUUGGUCUUGGCAUCUUGCUGGAAACUGUUGCUGCGCUUGGUUGUGUGGUGCAGCUUUCAGCACUUUCACUUUGAGGAAAUUGGAGUGUUUCAAGCAGGCACAUGCCUUUGGACACAGUAGCAUGGAAUAAUUAGAUUGGGCUUUUGCUCCAACUUGUUGGUUCCUGGAGCUGAGGUGAGAAUCAAUGGGGAUUGUUGGGGGCAUCCGAAUUUAGCCGUCAGAGGUGAAAUUCUUGGAUCUGCUAAAGACGGACAACUGCGGAAGCGUUUGCCCAGGAUGUUUUCAUUGA
rnacentral:rRNA from 1 species